rnacentral:rRNA from 1 species
GUGGGGAAUAUUGCGCAAUGGGGGAAACCCUGACGCAGCGACGCCGUGUGAGGGAAGAAGGCUUUCGGGUCGUAAACCUCUGUCAGAAAGGAAGAACCUCCCAAGUCCGAAUAGGGCUUGGGACUGACGGUACUUUCAAAGGAAGCACCGGCUAACUCCGUGCCAGCAGCCGCGGUAAUACGGAGGGUGCAAGCGUUAAUCGGAAUCACUGGGCGUAAAGCGCGCGUAGGCCGCUUUGUAAGUCGGACGUGAAAGCACUCGGCUCAACCGGGGAAGUGCGUUCGAUACUGCGAGGCUUGAGUCCUGGAGAGGGUGGCGGAAUUCCGGGUGUAGGAGUGAAAUCCGUAGAUAUCCGGAGGAACACCGGUGGCGAAGGCGGCCACCUGGACAGGUACUGACGCUGAGGCGCGAAAGCGUGGGGAGCAAACAGGAUUAGAAACCCUGGUAGUCC